UCCUGGCUCAGAAUUAACGCUGGCGGCAUGCCUAACACAUGCAAGUCGCACGAGAAAGCCCGGUUCGCCGGGCGAGUAAAGUGGCGCACGGGUGAGUAACGCGUGGAUAAUCUACCUUCUUCUGGGGGAUAACGCACCGAAAGGUGCGCUAAUACCGCAUAUUCCGGUUGGUUUUAGGACCGAUCGGUAAAGGUGGCCUCUUGAUCAAAGCUACCGGGAGAAGAUGAGUCCGCGUCCCAUUAGCUAGUUGGUGGGGUAAAGGCCUACCAAGGCGACGAUGGGUAGCUGGUCUGAGAGGACGAUCAGCCACACUGGAACUGGAACACGGUCCAGACUCCUACGGGAGGCAGCAGUGAGGAAUAUUGCGCAAUGGGGGAAACCCUGACGCAGCGAUGCCGCGUGAGUGAAGAAGGCCUUCGGGUCGUAAAGCUCUGUCAAGCGGGAAGAACAGCGGCGGGACGAAUAAUCCCGUCGUGUGACGGUACCGCUGAAGGAAGCACCGGCUAACUCCGUGCCAGCAGCCGCGGUAA
rnacentral:rRNA from 1 species